rnacentral:rRNA from 1 species
GAGUUUGAUCCUGGCUCAGAACGAACGCUGGCGGCAGGCCUAACACAUGCAAGUCGAGCGCAUCCUUCGGGAUGAGCGGCGGACGGGUGAGUAACGCGUGGGAACGUGCCCAGAUCUACGGAAUAGCCACUGGAAACGGUGAUUAAUGCCGUAUACGCCCUUCGGGGGAAAGAUUUUUCGGAUUUGGAUCGGCCCGCGUUAGAUUAGGUAGUUGGUGGGGUAAUGGCCUACCAAGCCGACGAUCUAUAGCUGGUCUGAGAGGAUGAUCAGCCACACUGGGACUGAGACACGGCCCAGACUCCUACGGGAGGCAGCAGUGGGGAAUCUUAGACAAUGGGGGAAACCCUGAUCUAGCCAUGCCGCGUGAGUGAUGAAGGCCCUAGGGUUGUAAAACUCUUUCAGCUGGGAAGAUAAUGACGGUACCAGCAGAAGAAGCCCCGGCUAACUCCGUGCCAGCAGCCGCGGUAAUACGGAGGGGGCUAGCGUUGUUCGGAAUUACUGGGCGUAAAGCGCGCGUAGGCGGAUUGGAAAGUUGGGGGUGAAAUCCCGGGGCUCAACCUCGGAACUGCCUCCAAAACUAUCAAUCUUGAGUUCGAGAGAGGUGAGUGGAAUUCCAAGUGUAGAGGUGAAAUUCGUAGAUAUUAGGAGGAACACCAGUGGCGAAGGCGGCUCACUGGCUCGAUACUGACGCUGAGGUGCGAAAGUGUGGGGAGCAAACAGGAUUAGAUACCCUGGUAGUCCACACCGUAAACGAUGAAUGCCAGUCGUCGGGCAGUAUACUGUUCGGUGACACACCUAACGGAUUAAGCAUUCCGCCUGGGGAGUACGGUCGCAAGAUUAAAACUCAAAGGAAUUGACGG